GUUGACAUAGUUUAAUAAAAACAUUAGGUUGUGGACCUAACAACAGAAG
rnacentral:tRNA from 1 species